rnacentral:rRNA from 1 species
GAUGAACGCUGGCGGCGUGUCUAAGGCAUGCAAGUCGAACGAGAUCUUCGGGUCUAGUGGCGCACGGGUGCGUAACGCGUGGGAAUCUGCCCUUUGGUUCGGAAUAACAGUUGGAAACGACUGCUAAUACCGGAUGAUGACGAAAGUCCAAAGAUUUAUCGCCAGAGGAUGAGCCCGCGUAGGAUUAGCUAGUUGGUGUGGUAAAGGCGCACCAAGGCGACGAUCCUUAGCUGGUCUGAGAGGAUGAUCAGCCACACUGGGACUGAGACACGGCCCAGACUCCUACGGGAGGCAGCAGUGGGGAAUAUUGGACAAUGGGCGAAAGCCUGAUCCAGCAAUGCCGCGUGAGUGAUGAAGGCCUUAGGGUUGUAAAGCUCUUUUACCCGGGAUGAUAAUGACAGUACCGGGAGAAUAAGCUCCGGCUAACUCCGUGCCAGCCGCCGCAGUAA